rnacentral:sRNA from 1 species
CUCGAUGUGCUAAUCAAGUUCCCCCUAAUUUGACAUACUAGAAUCUAAUACUAGAGGCAGCAUGACAUUAUUAUGGGGGAGGAGGUUGAGAAGCACUAACCUCGAAGUUAGAAUUUCUGGUUUGUCAUCCCAGUCUGCUAAUUAGCUUUCUGAUUUAAGACAAAAUACUUUUUUCUGUGCCUUCUGGGGGUCAAUUCGAUUUUUAAGAUUCUCUCAGUUGGAAGAAAUGUAACUAAAAAUAUACUUAAAAUAAUUCUUUGGUAGUAUAUUAUUUUGAAAUUUGGUCCAGAAUCCUAUUUGUUUAUUCCUGUAGUAUACAUACAUCUGUAGUUACCCAGUAGUCUUUGUUGUCUUUGGGCCAUCUAAAGUAUAUUUGGGCUGGGCAUGGUGACUCACACCUGUAAUUUCAACACUUUGGAAGGCCAAGGUGGGAAAAAUCACGUGAGGCUGAUCUCAAACUUCUGGCCUCAAACAAACCUCCUGCCUUAACCUUCCAAAGUGCUGGGGUUAUAGAUGAGCCACUGUGCCCCGCCAUGGAGUCAUGUGAUACACAUAGUAAGCUGUCAGAUAUUUUUGGUAAGUUCAAAUAGACACCAAGUAAAAAAAGAUUCCCAUUUAUUCUCCCCAGCUUGCCAACCCCCUACAUUAAGUAAUGAAAUGAAACC